rnacentral:rRNA from 1 species
AUUGAACGCUGGCGGCAUGCUUUACACAUGCAAGUCGAGCGGCAGCGCGGGGGCAACCCUGGCGGCGAGCGGCGAACGGGUGAGUAAUACAUCGGAACGUGUCCCGUAGUGGGGGAUAGCCCGGCGAAAGCCGGAUUAAUACCGCAUAUGCUCUACGGAGGAAAGUGGGGGACUCGCAAGGGCCUCACGCUAUGGGAGCGGCCGAUGUCCGAUUAGCUUGUUGGCGGGGAAUGGCCCACCAAGGCGACGAUCGGUAGCUGGUCUGAGAGGAUGAUCAGCCACACUGGGACUGAGACACGGCCCAGACUCCUACGGAGGCAGCAGUGGGGAAUUUUGGACAAUGGGCGCAAGCCUGAUCCAGCCAUGCCGCGUGAGUGAUGAAGGCCCUA